rnacentral:lncRNA from 1 species
UUUUGGAGUAAAACUAGUGCUUACUGGUUUCCAUUUGUAUUUAGCUUCUGGUUGGAAUUUGAAAAAAAAAAAAAAAGGGAAAGAAACCUAAAUAAAAUAGGUGAAAGCUUCCCGGCUACUCAGAUGGAUGUAUAAAAAUAGCAGUGAUAAGGUUUUUUUUUUUUUUUUUUUUUAAUCCCAUGUCUGGUCACUUAAGGUUGUUUUAUCAGAAGAAUUUGAUAGAACAUUUUGAAGGUUUGUGUUGCAGCUAUCAUUCUGUCAAAGUUUGGAGUAGAAGUAGAUAUACAUUUGGAGAGAUUUGCCCAAGAUCGUAUAAAUAGAGGAUUUAAGUCAUCAGUCUGGAUCCAGAGGCCAGUGGCUUUUUAAAAACCAUUUUACUGUGUUCAACAUAUUAGGCAAUUCAGCACCCAUUUUAUGUCAGUAAUUUAGGAACAUUGUCAAGAACAGUGUAGAUGUUCUGGUAUAACAAUAAGAUUUUGCCACAUUUUUUUUCUAUAUAUAUUUUACAUAUUUAAUGAGCCAUUUGGUAUUUAUUGCACACAUCAUUUAUUUUUGUCUUUUGGUGCUUAGGUUUAUGUUACAGUACGGGAUUUUGUGGUGGGUGGGGUGUUUAAGAUACCUUAGAGUACCAUUACCAAACUUAAAAGUAACAAUACAACCAGGCAGUGGUGGCGCACACCUUUAAUCCCAGCACUCGGGAGGCAGAGGCAGGCAGAUUUCUGAGUUCCAGGCCAGCCUGGUCUACAGAGUGAGUUCCAGGACAGCCAGGACUACACAGAGAAACCCUGUCUCAAAAAAAAACAAAACAAAAACAAUAUACCAUCCAUUAUACCAUCCAUGUUCUAGUUCUGCUAAUUAGCUCAAGAAAUUUGGAGUUUGUCCAAGCUUAGAUUGACUUUGUACCCUUCAGGUUACUAUCCAAAAGCAAAUGCCAUCUUAAAACUAACUUUGGUUUCUGCCCUAUGAACUCACUGUUAGUGACUGAUGACAAACAGUAUAAAAAUGCUGUUCCCUCCUUUUCUCCCUUGAAUUAGAAUGAAUCUUAGUGCCAAGCCAAGCCAACCGCUUGAAAAAUGUUUCAGCCUGUGUGUGUCUAGCUGUUGCACCCCAUGUGUAUCUGUAUCCCAUGCAUACAAUGCCUCUGGAGGCCAGAGGAGGUGACCCCUGGGGCUGGUUACCUGUUGAGCUGUAGGGGGCUGGAAGAGCCCCUGAUGCUCUUGUUACAUUGUCUCUAGCCCCAGCCAGUCUUGGUUGCAAAGCAGAUUUUCCAAAUUACCCCUCAAAUGUUUCUCAGCAUUCUGUGAGCCUUGUCCCAUGUCUCAUGAUGUGGCCAUAAGACUUUCUGAAGCACUAUCACAGAUAAAUCCAAACUUGCCUGUAUCCAGUCCUUCAGUACUGGAAGCAGCUCCUGCAAGGAGUAUACAGGUCCUUUUGUUGGAAGGAGUAGAGCUCAAGAUCUAGGUUUCCUGUUUGUCCCCAACUGAAGAGUAUAGAUCUGCUACCUCAGACAGCUUUUUACUUAGGGUGUUUCAGUCUACCGAAAGCUGCUUUCUGUCUUUCCACUCUAGUUUUGAUGUUCACUGCAAAGAAAGUAAGAGUCCCAACUCUUUAGAUUUUGAGAAAUGCACUAAUAUGCUAACUUUUUUAUUUGUUUUUUUGAGAUAGGGUUUCUCUGUAUAGCCCUGGCUGUCCUGGAACUCAAACUUUGUAGACCAGGCUGGCCUUGAACUCAGAAAUCCACCUGUCUGCCUCCUGAAUGCUGGGAUUAAAAGCGUGUGCCACCACGCCCGCCUUCUAACUUUUCAGUAGGGGCUCAUGAUAAAUGUUCCUUCUAUACAAAAGAUGUCAGGUCCAGACCUACUAAAUCAGCAGAGAAUGAUAUUUCUAGGGUCAGGGGCUUUGCUUCAAAAUUUUGUACCAUCUGUCCCAGGCUUUUAAAUUUCCUAGUAUGGCUGUGGUUUAUCCAUUUGGAAGUUUGAUAAUCUUGUCUCAAAAGAAGUGGAAAAUAAUGGCACUAUUUUAGAGCUGAGAAAGACCUAAAAUGUCACUAAGGAUUGCUUAUUUCUAUGUUGGGAUGCCUUUGUCUCCUAAACUCUUGGGCCCCUAGGUAAUGGUUUUUGGAGGUGGAGUCUCAGGGAGGCCUUUCCCUAUGUGAAGAAGGCAGCUAUCUGAAGAAGUGGCCCCUCCAAAAAAUAUCCUGGAAACGUAAUGUCCUUUACACCUGCAAGGCGUUUCUGAGGUUUAUAUCCUAGCCAGCCUGUAGUAGUGACUGACAUCUAGCAGUUUAUGCUGCUCCUUGAAUACCAAACUUUGGUUUCACAG